AUUGAACGCUGGCGGCAUGCCUUACACAUGCAAGUCGAGCGCGAAAAGGGGGCAACCCCGAGUAGAGCGGCGGACGGGUGAGUAACGCAUCGGAACGUGCCCAGUAGUGGGGGACAACCUCGAGAAAUCGAGGCUAAUACCGCAUACGACCCACGGGUGAAAGCGGGGGACCGCAAGGCCUCGCGUUAUUGGAGCGGCCGAUGUCCGAUUAGCUAGUUGGCGGGGUAAGAGCCCACCAAGGCGACGAUCGGUAGCUGGUCUGAGAGGACGACCAGCCACACUGGGACUGAGACACGGCCCAGACUCCUACGGGAGGCAGCAGUGGGGAAUUUUGGACAAUGGGGGCGAACCCUGAUCCAGCCAUGCCGCGUGCGGGAAGAAGGCCUUCGGUU
rnacentral:rRNA from 1 species